CCUAGUAACUGCGAGUGAAGCGGGAAAAGCUCAAAUUUAAAAUCUGGCGGUCUUUGGCUGUCCGAAUUGUAAUCUAGAGAAGCAUUAUCCGCGCUGGACCGUGUACAAGUCUCCUGGAAUGGAGCGUCACAGAGGGUGAGAAUCCCGUCUUUGACACGGACUACCAGGGCUUUGUGAUGUGCUCUCAAAGAGUCGAGUUGUUUGGGAAUGCAGCUCAAAAUGGGUGGUAAAUUCCAUCUAAAGCUAAAUAUUGGCGAGAGACCGAUAGCGAACAAGUACCGUGAGGGAAAGAUGAAAAGAACUUUGGAAAGAGAGUUAAACAGUACGUGAAAUUGCUGAAAGGGAAACGCUUGAAGUCAGUCGCGUUGGCCAGGGAUCAACCUUGCUUUUUUGCUUGGCUUACUUUCUGGUUGACGGGUCAGCAUCAAUUUUGACUGGUGGAAAAAGUUCAAGGGAAUGUGGCAUCUUUGGAUGUGUUAUAGCCUUUGUUCGCAUACAUCAGUUGGGAUUGAGGAACUCAGCACGCCGAAAGGCCGGGUUUUUAACCACGUACGUGCUUAGGAUGCUGGCAAAAUGGCUUUAAUCGACCCGUCUUGAAACACGGACCAAGGAGUCUAACAUGCCUGCGAGUGUUUGGGUGGAAAACCCGAGCGCAUAAUGAAAGUGAAAGUUGAGAUCCCUGUCAUAGGGAGCAUCGACGCCCGGAUCUGACCUUUUGUGACGAUUCCGCGGUAGAGCAUGUAUGUUGGGACCCGAAAGAUGGUGAACUAUGCCUGAAUAGGGUGAAGCCAGAGGAAACUCUGGUGGAGGCUCGUAGCGAUUCUGACGUGCAAAUCGAUCGUCAAAUUUGGGUAUAGGGGCGAA
rnacentral:rRNA from 1 species